rnacentral:rRNA from 1 species
UACGGGGGGGGCAAGCGUUGUUCGGAAUUACUGGGCGUAAAGGCUCGUAGGCGGCCAACUAAGUCGGACGUGAAAUCCCCAGGCUCAACCUGGGAACUGCGUCCGAUACUGGAUGGCUUGAAUCCGGGAGAGGGAUGCAGAAUUCCAGGUGUAGCGGUGAAAUGCGUAGAUAUCUGGAGGAAUACCGGUGGCGAAGGCGGCAUCCUGGACCGGCAUUGACGCUGAGGAGCGAAAGCCAGGGGAGCAAAGCGGG